UAAAGACCUUAAAUGUUAUGUGUACUUUGGUGUUGCCACAUAAGAGAAGGAGAAAUUGAAGUUCUGACAUAGAAAUUGGAUUCUCCUAAAUAGCAUAAAGGUGGGUAGAAAUCCCGGAGAAACAUCUCAUGCUUCUGAACACAUAAGCAGAGCAAACCCCAGCAUUUAUCAGCUUCCUUCUGUCUAGCCAUGUGCCCUGGAUCUUUUCCUUUUCUUUAUUUUUGUUUCUUUUUUCUGUUUUCUUAAUUUGCAGGAUGAACGCUAGUCUUUAGGUUUCAGCAGCAAUCUUAAGAGUGGGUGUCCAAAACCUAUGGUCCAGGAGCUACGCAGAUCAGUUGCAUGAAGAACAGAGUUCCAGCUCCAGCUGAAACCCCAAGCAGUCAAGGCAAAAAGCAACAAUGUGUGUCUGACGUUCUUGGAAAGCCCCCAGCAUCUUGUGCCAGAUCUUUCUUUAAAAGCACCGUCUUAAAAGGGUCCUUUAAUCCGCACUAACGAAACCAGUGGUACAUUUCCCUUGAGCUUACAUUCUACCUUCAUUGCUUCAUCCUCACAAGUACUGAAAGGAUCCCGCAUCUGAAUGCAAACCAUGACUUUGAGUAUAAUAAAAUUCUAACACUUUUGGAAAGGCGUUGAGAGGAAUCAUGCAGGCAUUUGAAAUUUGAUGAAUGAUAAAGAACACUACCGAUGUGAUACCAGGGAUUACAGGUGAGGUUUUUCAACCUUGAGAUGUCCUUUGCUUUGCGUUGCUUUUAAAAAUACCAAGAGAUCGUCUUUGUUUGCCUUUAUUUUUUAACCCUGAUAAUGAAGGUUCACUACCUUCUCUGUAGAUGUUUGAUUCAAUGUUUAAUUUCUCAGCUGCAAUUCAAUUAAUCUGAAAUGAGAGUAGUAUUGAUCUUUAAUGUUUCUUAGUAAAAUAAACAUCACUGUGCCAACUCCUUGCCUCCCAUACCUUUAUCCUUUCCUCAAAACACUGAAAGUGAUGUGAAGCCAGCCAAUGUACAAAUAUAAUCAUGGCAGACAGUGAUAACAGUAUGUGGUAUACAUGGGCCAGAAAACAUACUGGUAUAAAUUCAGGUGUUCUGCAAAGUUGUUUGGCUUUAUUUUAUUGUAAGCCUCUUCCUAUGGUUGACGAAAAUAAAAAUAUUUGAUACAGACAGGACAAAUAGCUUACCCAAGUUUCAAGAACUAAUAAGGGAAAGAGCUCGGAUUUGAACCCAGACCCUUGACUUCUACCCCGCCCUCUCCUAACAAAACACUUUACUUCCUCUGAAGGAAAAUCAACUUCCUGGUGAGAAAAGAGUUCCUACGUAUAUUGCAGAUAGUCACUGUUGUACUCUUGUAGGGGAUUAACAGACGGUAUCAGAAAUAACAAGGUAUUAGUUUGGGUACACUAGGAACAAGACAUUUUUGUUUUUGUUAUUGUUUGGAGUACUAGGGUUUGAACCCAGGGCCUUCACACUGAGCUACAUCACCAGACUGAUUUUAUUUUUUAUUUUGAGAUGGUGCCUGGAUAAAUUGCUAAAUUGCCCAGGCUGCACUUGAACUUGUAAUCCUCCUGCCAUGGCCUCCCAGAGUGCUGGGAUUCCAGAUGCGCUCUACCGUGCCUGAUUCAAGAGUAUCUUUAAAAUUUAUUUUUGGCAACACUUUUUAUCUCCUGAAUGACAGCAGAUGUUAUACCAAGCUGGAACGCUGUCUAAUCAUGGGGCAAUUACAAGCUAGAGGAAG
rnacentral:lncRNA from 1 species